rnacentral:rRNA from 1 species
AGCAGCCGCGGUAAUUCCAGCUCCAAUAGCGUAUAUUAAAGUUGUUGCAGUUAAAAAGCUCGUAGUUGAAUUUCGGGAUCAUCAGGUCGGUCGUGCCUCCGGUAUGUACUGGUCUCGAUGGUUCCUCCUUCUUGUAGAACCGUAAUGCCAUUAAUUUGGUGUUGCGGGGAAACAGGACUGUUACUUUGAAAAAUUAGAGUGUUUAAAGCAGGCGAUCGCUUGAAUACAUUAGCAUGGAAUAAUGAAAUAGGACGUUCGAUCCUAUUUUGUUGGUUUCUAGGAUUGACGUAAUGAUUAAUAGGGAUAGUUGGGGGCAUUAGUAUUCAAUUGUCAGAGGUGAAAUUCUUGGAUUUAUUGAAGACUAACUACUGCGAAAGCAUUUGCCAAGGAUGUUUUCAUUAAUCAAGAACGAAAGU